AUUGUGCUUUCUCCUGGAGUCUGUUCAUCUUCUCCGGUUUUCCCUCUCUUCUUGAGGGCCGAUCCAUCCACUAUGCAGAACAGCCGCAACCUUGAUCUGUUUUUGGCGUCCACGACUCACGUCGUUGAGUGGUUCAUGGCGGAUUUAUCGUGGGGUAUGGCUGGGUUGAGUGCAUAUAUAAGAAGAGAUCGUCUCCGUCCUGGGUAAGGGCUGAUUAGCCAAUGGCUCCAGCAUUUUGAUCUUGCUUAGUUGGUGUGUCUUUCGAGUUGCUUUGCUGCAUUCCCCACGCCUCAGCUCAUCGCUCGCCUUGCCGCGUUCGCUGAGUUGGUGUCGUAUCUCCGGGAAAACACGGGAGGAGACCCGAGGCAUAGACGGGCUGUGAUUUUCUCUGGGACAGCGUCCUUGACGCACUUCACCACUGUCGACGAACUUGUUCGUUGCAUCUACAUGUUUUGUGCCUGCAUCUGAUGAGUUCAGCUCUUCGUUUAUGAGAUCAUGCAGUAGUAUAUUAAGUUCUCCAACUUUCUGUUUAGCUCUUGUUCUGGAAGCAGAGAAAUUCUGAGUUAAGAUUUCUUGCUUGUUCAGCUAUCCACCUAAUUCACUAUUAUGUUUUUGGUUCAGAGCAAUCGUGUGAAAAUUGCUUUCUGUCCUAUUGUCUAGUAAUCUGAAUUAGUUGUUUUUUGUCAGUCGAUAUAUACUGACAUGUUUUGCUGAUGUUUGAGGAUUAAAUGAGUGCCUAGGAGGAGCUUCUGUAUGUAACUCAAUUUCAGCGAGCAAAAUAUUGUUCUGUUUUGUUCAGCUUAUAUCAGGAGUGAUCUCUCUUUAAUUCAGUUUUCAUCUUUAGCCUAAUCUUUGUGCUUUGCUCCCAACAGUUAGUAAGUUAGUACAACUUAGCACUGUCUAGAUUCAUAUAUUCAUAUAGAUGAUAAUAAAUUUAGACAUAUAUACAAACAAUAUAUACUGAUCCAUAGAUUAAUCUAAGAAUGUGAUUGAUGCUAUCAUACGCAAAAUAAGCUUAGUUAGGAUUUAAAUGACAAUGACAUCAAUGGUCUGCAGCAAACUCCACUUUUGUAUAAUUCUUCGCUGGCCCAAAUAUAGAAAAGAUACAUGUCCACUGUAUAUUUAUGCUACUUUAUUUGUUGUGCACAAAAAUAUUUUGUUUUCCAUAUAGUCUUUCCAGUUAUGUAUGCUUGUUGACUACUGUAUCAUCUUGAAGUACCAAAUCAAUCAGUAGACACUGCUAUUACAGAGCAUCAGAGUUUGUUGAGAACAUGCUCAAAUGUGUACAAUCCGAGAGAACUUAUUACGUAAAUUAUAUUAUUUUUUGAUCAAUGUGAUAUUUGUGCUUAUGUUUUGAUUGAUGAAA